GGCGGAAGGGCGAGUAAUGCAUAGAUGACCUACCCUCGAGAUGGGGACAACCAUUCGAAAGGAUGGCUAAUACCCAAUAAGACCACGGGUCGCAUGGCCUGUGCUUAAAGAUGGGGACCCGCAAGGGCCUUUCGCUCGAGGAGGGGUUUAUGUCCUAUCAGCUUGUUGGUGGGGUAACGGCCCACCAAGGCGAUGACGGGUAGCCGACCUGAGAGGGUGACCGGCCGCACUGGGACUGAGACACUGCCCAGACUCCUACGGGAGGCUGCAGUCGAGGAUCUUCCGCAAUGCGCGAAAGCGUGACGGAGCGACGCCGCGUGGUUGAUGAAGGCCUUCGGGUUGUAAAGCCCUGUCGACUGGGAAGAAUGGCGGGAGGUGAAUAGCCAUCUCGUCUGACGCUACCAGUAAAGGAAGCACCGGCUAAAUACGUGCCAGCAGCCGCGGUAAUACGUAUGGUGCGAACGUUGUUCGGAAUCACUGGGCAUAAAGAGCACGUAGGCGGUCGGGCAAGUCCAUUGUGAAAUCCCCCGGCUUAACCGGGGAACUGCAAUGGAUACUACUCGGCUUGAGUGU
rnacentral:rRNA from 1 species